rfam:Biomphalaria glabrata isolate BB02 unplaced genomic scaffold LGTN_random_Scaffold636, whole genome shotgun sequence.
GUAGGCUAUGGAGACAUGAUGCCGAUAGGAGUCUGGGGAAAAUUAGUAGGGUCACUCUGCGCUAUAGCCGGUGUGCUGACCAUCGCUCUUCCAGUCCCUGUGAUCGUUUCUAAC